AUCCCGCAAACUGCGAAAGAACGCGUCGACAAAACUGUCCUGCAGCCAACCCCACCAUGGCACCACCUCCCUUAACCCUAAUCACAUCAAUCCACGGCCAAUCCCAAAAGCGCGAUUCUCUCCUCUGCGGAUCGGCUGACGUCGCCGCCCUCCACAAGCCACCGGCCGGGGCUGACGUCGCCACCCUGCGCAAGCCACCGGCCGCGGCUGCCUUUGCUUCGCUCCCGCCACUGCCGGCCGGCUGCCCGCAUUGCAUCCUUUCUCCCGUACCACUUCCCAAGCCUGCAUUCCACCCUCCAUGCCUCUCCACCGACGCGCCCUGCAGGGGAUGCACGAGUCGUCGAUCCCAUUCCCCCGUCCCCGUCCCCUGGACUGGCCACCGGUGGCGCCCUCCCUUCCCACCCCUCCCCUGCACCCGCCAGCCGCCCAUCCCCAGAUUGAAGACUUCCUGCUGCACCACAAGAUGGUCCCGCAUCCCUGCACGCUGAUCGGUCAUCCGCGCAAUCAGGACCCUCAUGCGGCCGCGCGCAUCCUACAACUCAGAUGGGGACGACGAACCAGAGUUCUACAUAUUGCAAGCUGAUCACGUAAAGGAGGUUCGUACCCUCAUCCAGAUUGAGUAGUUCAGUCAGUUAUACUGCAGUUUAAUGGUUUCUGUUAAUGCUCCUUGGUGCAAACGGAAGAUGCAGCAACCAGAUUGUAGAGUCCGGCCUCCAUCAGCACGAGGCUGCAAUGCUCCAUUUCAAGAUUUUGUCUAUUCUUCAUUGACUUCCAGGAGUUGAUGUGAUUGUUUUAUUUUUCAGAUUUAGUGUUUCUGAAGAGAACGAGGUGUAGCCUUUCCCACUGCCAGAGUUUAUCCUUUUUAAAGCUUUUUUAUCAUUAUAUCACUAAUUCAUGAACGAAGUUGAAAUUUUGCAGGAGUUUUUGUGCAACUGAAUUGGCAAGGCAGGUAACUACCUCCAGGUUAAUCAUUUGUGAUUUGAAUUGUUGAUUGAUCAAUAUUAUUCCUUGAAGCAUGUCAAACUGUAACUUAAUUCUUGAUCUCUGCAAUGCUAUAAUGCUCUUGGCUGGCAUUCUGAUUCAUCACAAAGUUUUCAUGUUUAGUUCUGUAUCAAAUAGGUAAUUUACGAAAAUGAGCUCCUAAUGCAAUGCCGAUUUUCUUCUAACGCAGUGGUUCCACAAAAGAUAUGGAUGCUUUUCUUCAUGGAUUGCAGGUAAAGAAGUUUGUGGUGGAGGCUUUGGUGAAGCUGCUACUUGAGGAAGUCUUUUUGAUCAACACUUAGUACACGUCCUCUUUUAUAUGCCUUCUGUCUAUUGCAAAUGUGAACGAGGUCUGGGCAUGCAUAAUUUCAUGAAACAUACCAUCCUGGUACUUCUGAAUGCCAUACAGUUCUAUCAUUUCACAAGGACAUAGCAUUUUCUGCAUUUAGGCUAGGGUUAACACAACAAGGUAAAAAAAGAUUUGGUCAGAGACUUAACCGGGCGUCUAAAUUUGAAAACACGAUAGAAAAUAGUAUGCUACAAUUGGUAGUGUUACAGUUCAACAAACAAUAUUGGAGCACAUGAAAAUAGGUCGGCUUUGUUUGCCAUUCACGUCAUAGCUUGCAUAUGAGAAAGACAUGGAAAUUCUCAUUAGAACUACUAUGUGGUGUCGUCUUUGUUUAGAAUUCUCUAAAGAUGCAUAUUAACACAAACAUUAUGUAUCCUCAACCUAGCAAAUAGUAUGUAUCAGUCAAUGUUUGUAAUAUCUCAAAUGCAAGGGGAUACUUGUUCGGAGUGUUAAAAAAACUCCUAUUUUGUUGGAGCACAAUACAAGGUGGAUUUAUAACAAACAUGCAACUAUGGAUAAGGAUAUUGUAUGAACCAAAACUGAAUUCAAUGGUAGGAGAGAGCGAUCCCUCUACCAUUACGUGGAUUGGCAUUCAUGCUCUCUAUACAGGAUCACUUCUCGAUGCUUUUUUCCCCUAACCGUGAAGUCUCUUAUUUGCAUAUAGACCACACCUAUAAUCUGAGUGACGCUCACACUGAAACCAAUGUCCUUCUGAAUGCCAAAUUCUCGGGUUCACGAUCGCUGAUUUUGAAUAUGCAGGGAAGCAGUUUUUCAUGGUUGGAACCGUUCCUGUUUCGGAAAUGUGGUUUGUAUCCUUCAUUGAAGGGAAUGUACAAGUGAUGUAUGGUGUUUCUUCUGUUACAACUUACAACCUGGCUGCGUCGUCCUCCAUGCGCCUCUCUUCGCCAAAUCUGGCUCCCGCCGAUCUCAAAGGUCAUGCAAAAUAGGUGGAGGCCGUGGUUCCAUCCUCCCUAACCCCGUCGCUGCGGUGAAAUUCGGGCAACCACGGAACCUCAGAUCCUCGCCCGUGUCGUGAAGAAUAGGUGGAAGCCGUUUUGAUCAUAUUCUUUAGUUUAGCAUGAAAAAUUCUAAUCAUCAUUCUCUCUAUAAAUGCAUCGAAACGCAAGCUUUUGUGUUUUGUCGAAAAAAAGUCUAAUCAUCAAGGAAAGUACGGUUAGACAUCACAGUGAUGCAGUAUGUAGCUAUGUUUGUCAAGGUCAAGGUUCAGGUACUGUCA